UCGGGAAUAUUGCACAAUGGGGGAAACCCUGAUGCAGCGACGCCGCGUAAAGGAAGAAGGUCUUCGGAUUGUAAACUUUUGUCGACAGGGAAGAAGAAAGUGACAGUACCUGUGGAGGAAGCCCCGGCUAACUACGUGCCAGCAGCCGCGGUAAUACGUAGGGGGCGAGCGUUAUCCGGAUUUACUGGGUGUAAAGGGCGCGUAGGCGGAACUUUAAGUCUGAUGUGAAAUACCAAGGCUCAACUUUGGAACUGCAUCGGAAACUGGAGAUCUAGAGUGUGGGAGAGGAAAGCGGAAUUCUCAGUGUAGCGGUGAAAUGCGUAGAUAUUGAGAGGAACACCGGUGGCGAAGGCGGCUUUCUGGACCAUUACUGACGCUGAGACACGAAAGCGUGGGGA
rnacentral:rRNA from 1 species